UGGGGCAGUCACCUGGCUGGGGGGUGGCGGAAGAACCUGGCUUCCCGCUGCCCGGCGACGGCGGGAUCCGGCGUCAGGUCUGAGGUCCCGGGUUGCAGCUGUCUCUGUGGCUGUGAGAAGCCACCCGGCUAGUCCGGGACCGGGUCGGCACUCCCAGCAGGAAACAGAAGCACCGUCCCGAAGCAGAGGCGCCUGCAGCUGUGCGCAGGGCGCGAACAGGUGCUGCUCUGUACUCCAAACUGCAUCACAUUAGGAGGCGCCCAACAUCUGGUUGUCUCACUUUAGUGAGGCUGAAAUUGAUCACUGGUGAGGCUGUGACAGCCAGACUUCUGUGUUGUAAAGGUUACCCACCUGCCUGCCCUCGUCCCCGUACCUUUGGGCAGCCCCAGCUGCUGCAGUUCACUGGACAAGGACUCGCCAUCCACGCUAUGCUUGGCCGCACUGGAGAGGAUGAAACUCAGCACUGCCACUGUGGCCUUCACAUCACCCGACUCUGGGGGGACCCGUGGGUGGAGUGGGGGGUGUCACUGUGGCCCCAGCCACCUCCUUGACACCCCACUAUCUUCAGCUCAGAGCCCCCAGGCCUCCUUGAGCCAUGAGCGCCGCUACUGCCCCACUGGGAGCCGGCAGAGGACCCUAGGGCUGGCAGUGUCUUUCUUCCCUCAUGCUCCUCUGCUGAGGCAGGUCUGUGGACCCAGUGGGGUACUCACCAAACCUGGCAUCAGCGGUGAGCUUCAGGAUCUUCUCAUACUGUGGAGAAAGGAGGCCCUCAAGGGGUGCCGGGCCCCUGCUCACCAGCCCCCAACCCCUGGCGUGGAUCCUGCGAAGGUCCUUCAGCACCUGGCUACACAGCAGCCUCAGCUUCACGGAGGACUGGAGGGGAAGGCUUUACAUCAGCCAGACUGACCCACCUCACCCCUCCAUGCUGGUGGGCUGGCUCAGAGAGGGCUGGCCGCAUACAUGAUCAGUCACACAGCAUGUUCGGAUAGCCCGAGAACGCUGAGGCCCCAACUCAAGAGUGACCUCACCACCCUCCACCCUCAGAGCCCCCAGCCGCAAUCCCUCUCUGCCCCCACCCCCAAGACCCCAUGCACUCAACAAUUUUGGCCAGCGUGCUGAUCUCUGCCAGGACCCAGUCAGGACAGUCCAGGUCACCACAGAACCGGAACCUCUGCAAGGGAGUGAGCUCCAGCCGUACUGGGCUCCCUGCUGCUCCUGUUGCAAAUUAAACGUGGCUUGCCCUCUCACUUCACUCAGGUCUCUGCUCAAAUGACACCUCUUCUGAUGGACUUUCUCGGACUAUGCUUUCUUAAAUAGCCCCUCACACAAGGAAAUUUUGGGGGUCAGUGGAUGUAUUCAUUAUCUUGAUCAUGGUAAUGUUUUCAUGAGCAUAUACGCAUCAAAACUUAUUGAACCAUAUAUUUACACACACAUGGUUUAUGUCGAUUUUAUCUCAAGGAAGCUGUUAAAAAAAAUAAAACAGCUCUUCACCAUCA